CUUCACUACAACUUUGCAUUGAUUUUGAAUUUUUGAUGUGUAGGAUAGUUGGGAGACUUUGAAGUGGUGUCGCCAGGCAUCAUGGAGUCGUCGUUGAAAUACCAACCUUUAAACAUUUAGAAUCUAAUUCCAUUAGCAAUUGGAAAACAGUGCAUGGUGGGUAGUUUGACUGGGGUGGUCGCCUCCUAAAAAGUAACGGAGGCUUGCAAAGGUUCCCUCAGUACGGUUGGUAAUCGUACAUAGAGCGUAUUAGUAUAAGGGAGCUUGACUGUGAGACAGACAAGUCGAGCAGGGACGAAAGUCGGCUAAAGUGAUCCGGUGGUUCUGUAUGGAAGGGCCAUCGCUCAAAGGAUAAAAGGUA
rnacentral:rRNA from 1 species